rnacentral:rRNA from 1 species
UACAGAGGUCCCGAGCGUUGUUCGGAUUUAUUGGGCGUAAAGGGUGCGUAGGCGGCGGAGUAAGUUGGGUGUGAAAUCCCGGGGCUCAACCUCGGAAUUGCAUUCAAUACUGCUUCGCUCGAGUACUGGAGAGGAGGCUGGAAUUUACGGUGUAGCAGUGAAAUGCGUAGAUAUCGUAAGGACGGCCGGUGGCGAAAGCGAGCCUCUGGACAGUUACUGACGCUGAUGCACGAAGGCCAGGGGAGCAAACGGG